rnacentral:lncRNA from 10 species
GGAACAGCCCCAGCCAGCAAGCUCCCAGUUCUCAAAAAAGGGAAAGGCCUGGGUGAAUGGGCGGCCUCUGGGGUGUGCAGAGGGGCUGCCACGUCGACAUGACCCUCUGCCCAGGCCAGGUGCCAGCGUCUCCUCCCCACAGGGGGAAGUCAAAGAAAUAAGCCCUCCUCCUGUGGGGAAAGCACGGCAGACUUCAGGCAAUGGUGGUUGGACAUUUGCCCUGCCCCUUAUUAUAUGGUCAUGUCCACCCCCCUCACUUCAGUGGGCCUCCGUUUCCUCACGGGGUUGUUAAAAUGCAUUAAUCAUUAAAAUUAUUGUUUGCCUGGCAC